rnacentral:tmRNA from 1 species
AUUCCUGUCAGAAUGGAACUGUCCACCUUUUGGCGGACUAGGUGAUCCACACCAGUGUCUCGGACAGCGGUUCGAUUCCGCUCAGCUCCAUUUACUUUUUGGGGCUGCAAUGGUUUCGACGGGGUAUGAGGAGGGUGACUGAAGCCUGCUCGGUAUGAGCAACUACGUAACUGCGAACAACAUCGUUCGUUUCUCCCGUCAGACAGCCCCUGUUGCUGCCUGACCCUUAGGGGAGAUGGGGUGAGGUCAGCCUUAUCACCCAAAUGACCCAUGGGGCCUGGAAGGGCCCCUCUUUUAUUGCUAUAACAAGGGUC